GUCACGUAAAACAUGUCGGGCUGGUCGUUUUGCAAAAAACCCCUCGGGGAAAUUCCGACAAGCCCCGCACUCCCACCGCUCAUCUUCCUCGCUCGGUCGCACGCCGCAGCUCCGCUCGCCUGCCGCAGAUCCCGGCGCCGCCCCCGCUCCGCCAUCUAUCGCCGCCGCGUAGCUUGCCCUCGCUGCUUCCUUCCUCCGUAUAGCUCCCCCGCGUCGUCUAGCUCCCUCGCAAAUCCCCGCCCCACUCUCCCUCUGCAGAAGGUUGGACUUUUCCCGUCCAAGGUUGGAUUUUCCAGAGCAAUACACCCGAUCUCUCCUCACGGCGACAUCGCCGCCGCCGCCGACAAAGCUAGCCGUUCCUCCAUCCCGCAACCAGCCAGUCCUAAGCUUUAAUAUUCCUUCUCCCAUUCUAGACGAGGCCACUCAUCCACACCCGACGCUGCCGAGGCACCUGACGGCGUCGAUGCCGCCUCAGCACCUUACGCCGCCCGUAUUCUCCCGCUACGUACGGCAUGCUGUGAAGGCUUGAACGAUAUGCUGCAGCCUUGUUGCUGAUUGCAAUACACAUCCGGAAAAGGAGUACAAAACUGCACACAGUUUCAGUUAAACGGUACCAAGAUGCACAGGUUUCAGUUAUUCAGCUCAUCUUGAGCUCCUGGAGGAGGACGUCGGGGCAGAAGAGGUUGGUUCUGUAGGACACCGGCUGCAGAAGGUCGAGAAGGUCAGGAUGGGGGAAUCUGGCUGUGCUUGAGGGCGAGCGCGAGGUCGAGGGUGUGCGGGCGGAGAGCCUGAGAUGCAGGUGGCCUGCGGGCGGAGAUUCAGAUGUCGCCGAGGCGGCCGGGAAUGGAUGCGUGCGGGGGAGGGCGGCUUCGGGGGAAGAGGGGCGAAGUGGCGACUACUUGCUCACCGGCGGGGACGACUCCGGCGCCGGUGGUGUGAAUCGCGCGCGGGGUGCAAGGGAGCUGCGGCGAGGCCCGCGCUCGGUGCAGGCUGCAGAGGUGGGGGAGAACGACGACCGGGGCGGCGCCGACGGAGGAAGGAGCGGGGCUAGCAGGCUGGCCGGCCGCCAGGUCGAGCCGCCCCGUCCAUCGUUGCGGCGAGCUCCUGCGCCUCCGCGAUGCUGGCGUCCUUGAUGGAGUCCUGGAGGUCGUGCGCGUCCUCGAUGGAGUCCGGCAGCUCGAUCUGGUCGCCUGCAGCUGUGCACCUCCGCGGGAACGACGCCGCGACGGAGGACGGUGUCCGCACCUGGCCACCAGGGAACCACGCCGGCGAGAAGAACCUUCCUUCAAAUUUGAUUUCAGGUCUAGAUUUAAAACAAUCAAAAUCUUUUAGGGUGAUUUCUGCGAAAAUGAAAAUGAGCUGGGGGGAGGGAGAGGUGCGACAUGUUUUAUGUGACGGAG